rnacentral:piRNA from 1 species
UAACCAAGAUAAAUGCUAUUUGGUUUCAGGU